rnacentral:lncRNA from 1 species
CAAAGACUUCCUUCAGCAAAAAUAUGAAGAAGUAAGAAUGACUGCAGUGGUAGAAACUGAUGACACCAAAGCCUGGCACAUCUACAAAGAAACAGAUGAGGCUGAAGUUUUCUACUCUGAGUGCCUCCCUCAAGAUGAGUAUUUGGAGAAUUUGGAGAAUUUCAGGACUAUGGCAUUGAAUGUGAUAUCCACGGUUCAAAUGCAGAAGAGACAAGAACCAGCCAUGAGGAGAUGGACUGGAUUUGGACAAGGAGCAACAGAAAGUUGGGAGAUGGCACUGGGACUGGAGGACUGCUAUGGGAGAGAGAAACUAGAAGUCUGUGUGGCCACAGGUAAUGAAUGAGAACAUAUGCCUGCUCUUCAUGCAGUGGAGGUCAAAGUGUCAACUUUGACCCUUCUGGAUGGGCUUAUUAGCACAUCUCUGAGGAGAGAGCAGCUAUGUGUGGGAGUUGGAGUAUGUUUGAGAUGGUGGCUGAUGAUCCAUUGUUGCCAGAUUUUUUUUUCAGAGACUAGGUUCAGAAACCCUUCUGAGGUGGUAGCCUUUGAGCACAGGACAUUUAAAACUUUCUUUUUUUUUGAUUGAAAGCUAAAGAGA